rnacentral:sRNA from 1 species
GAUCCGGUAGGUAAGGCUACCACAGGGAUACGGAUCGCUGCCGCGGAGCCGUGGAGACACGGUGAGAGGGUCUGAACAGGUCAUGUCGAAAAACAAGGCGUGACAUAAUGCGAUUUCACUGCCCUGUGAUGCUAAAGCUUGAACGGUGG